ACGAACGCUGGCGGCGUGCCUAAUACAUGCAAGUAGCACGCUGAAGGAGGAGCUUGCUUCUCUGGAUGAGUUGCGAACGGGUGAGUAACGCGUAGGUAACCUGCCUGGUAGCGGGGGAUAACUAUUGGAAACGAUAGCUAAUACCGCAUAACAGUAGAUAUCGCAUGAUAUCUACUUGAAAGGUGCAAUUGCAUCACUACCAGAUGGACCUGCGUUGUAUUAGCUAGUUGGUUAGGUAACGGCUCACCAAGGCGACGAUACAUAGCCGACCUGAGAGGGUGAUCGGCCACACUGGGACUGAGACACGGCCCAGACUCCUACGGGAGGCAGCAGUAGGGAAUCUUCGGCAAUGGACGGAAGUCUGACCGAGCAACGCCGCGUGAGUGAAGAAGGUUUUCGGAUCGUAAAGCUCUGUUGUAAGAGAAGAACGAGUGUGAGAGUGGAAAGUUCACACUGUGACGGUAUCUUACCAGAAAGGGACGGCUAACUACGUG
rnacentral:rRNA from 1 species